rnacentral:rRNA from 1 species
AGAUUGAACGCUGGCGGCAGGCCUAACACAUGCAAGUCGAGCGGAAACAGAGAGUAACUUGUUACUUUGCUGUCGAGCGGCGGACGGGUGAGUAAUGCUUGGGAAACUGCCCAGUCGAGGGGGACAACCAUUGGAAACGAUGGCUAAUACCGCAUACGCCCUACGGGGGAAAGAAGGGGACUCUUCGGAGCCUUUCGCGAUUGGAUGUGCCCAAGUGGGAUUAGCUAGUUGGUGAGGUAAAGGCUCACCAAGGCGACGAUCCCUAGCUGGUUUGAGAGGAUGAUCAUCCACACUGGAACUGAGACACGGUCCAGACUCCUACGGGAGGCAGCAGUGGGGAAUAUUGCACAAUGGGCGCAAGCCUGAUGCAGCCAUGCCGCGUGUAUGAAGAAGGCCUUCGGGUUGUAAAGUACUUUCAGCGAGGAGGAAAGGGUAGUAGUUAAUAACUGCUAUCUGUGACGUUACUCGCAGAAGAAGGACCGGCUAACUCCGUGCCAGCAGCCGCGGUAAUACGGAGGGUCCGAGCGUUAAUCGGAAUUACUGGGCGUAAAGCGUACGCAGGCGGUUUGUUAAGCGAGAUGUGAAAGCCCCGGGCUCAACCUGGGAACUGCAUUUCGAACUGACAAACUAGAGUUUUGUAGAGGGUGGUAGAAUUUCAGGUGUAGCGGUGAAAUGCGUAGAGAUCUGAAGGAAUACCAGUGGCGAAGGCGGCCACCUGGACAAUAACUGACGCUCAUGUACGAAAGCGUGGGGAGCAAACGGGAUUAGAUACCCCGGUAGUCCACGCCGUAAACGAUGUCAACUAGCCGACUGAAUCCUUGAGAUUUGGGUGGCGCAGCUAACGCAUUAAGUUGACCGCCUGGGGAGUACGGCCGCAAGGUUA